rnacentral:rRNA from 1 species
GUGGAAGCGUCUGGAAAGGCGCGCGAUACAGGGUGACAGCCCCGUACACAAAAGCGCAUGUGCUGUGAGCUCGAUGAGUAGGGCGGGACACGUGGUAUCCUGUCUGAAUAUGGGGGGACCAUCCUCCAAGGCUAAAUACUCCUGACUGACCGAUAGUGAACCAGUACCGUGAGGGAAAGGCGAAAAGAACCCCGGCGAGGGGAGUGAAAAAGAACCUGAAACCGUGUACGUACAAGCAGUGGGAGCACAGGUUUACCUGUGUGACUGCGUACCUUUUGUAUAAUGGGUCAGCGACUUAUAUUCUGUAGCAAGGUUAACCGAAUAGGGGAGCCGGAGGGAAACCGAGUCUUAAUUGGGCGUUAAGUUGCAGGGUAUAGACCCGAAACCCGGUGAUCUAGCCAUGGGCAGGUUGAAGGUUGGGUAACACUAACUGGAGGACCGAACCGACUAAUGUUGAAAAAUUAGCGGAUGACCUGUGGCUGGGGGUGAAAGGCCAAUCAAACCGGGAGG